UACGUAGGGUGCAAGCGUUAAUCGGAAUUACUGGGCGUAAAGCGUGCGCAGGCGGUUAUAUAAGACAGUUGUGAAAUCCCCGGGCUCAACCUGGGAACUGCAUCUGUGACUGUAUAGCUAGAGUACGGUAGAGGGGGAUGGAAUUCCGCGUGUAGCAGUGAAAUGCGUAGAUAUGCGGAGGAACACCGAUGGCGAAGACAAUCCCCUGGACCUGUACUGAUGCUCAUGCACGAAAGCGUGGGGAGCAAACAGG
rnacentral:rRNA from 1 species